rnacentral:rRNA from 1 species
GAUGAACGCUGGCGGCGUGCCUAAUACAUGCAAGUCGAGCGAACGGACGAGAAGCUUGCUUUUCUGAUGUCAGCGGCGGACGGGUGAGUAACACGUGGAUAACCUACCUAUAAGACUGGGAUAACUUCGGGAAACCGGAGCUAAUACCGGAUAAUAUUUUGAACCGCAUGGUUCAAAAGUGAAAGACGGUCUUGCUGUCACUUAUAGAUGGAUCCGCGCUGCAUUAGCUAGUUGGUAAGGUAACGGCUUACCAAGGCAACGAUGCAUAGCCGACCUGAGAGGGUGAUCGGCCACACUGGAACUGAGACACGGUCCAGACUCCUACGGGAGGUAGCAGUAGGGAAUCUUCCGCAAAGGGCGAAAGCCUGACGGAGCAACGCCGCGUGAGUGAUGAAGGUCUUCGGAUCGUAAAACUCUGUUAUUAGGGAAGAACAUAUGUGUAAGUAACUGUGCACAUCUUGACGGUACCUAAUCAGAAAGCCACGGCUAACUACGUG